rnacentral:rRNA from 1 species
GCAGCGGAGCGUGUGGUUUAAUUCGUUGCUACACGAAGAACCUUACCUGGGUUUGACAUAUAGGUUGUAGGGAACUGAAAAGGGACCGACCCUUCGGGGAGCCUAUACAGGUGUUGCAUGGCUGUCGUCAGCUCGUGUCGUGAGAUGUUCGGUUAAGUCCGCUAACGAGCGCAACCCUCGUCGUAUGUUAUAUGUGUCAUACGAGACUGCCGGUAAAAAGCCGGAGGAAGGUGAGGAUGAUGUCAAGUCAGCAUGACCUUUAUAUCCAGGGCUACACACACGCUACAAUGGUCUGUACAAUGGGUAGCCAAGCCGCGAGGCGGAGCCAAUCCUGAAAGCAGGCCUCAGUUCAGAUUGCAGUCUGCAACUCGACUGCAUGAAGCCGGAGUUGCUAGUAACCGCAGGUCAGCAAUACUGCGGUGAAUACGUUCCCGGGUCUU